AGGGGGCUAGCGUUGCUCGGAAUCACUGGGCGUAAAGCGCACGUAGGCGGCUUUCUAAGUCAGGGGUGAAAUCCUGGAGCUCAACUCCAGAACUGCCUUUGAUACUGGAGAGCUUGAGUCCGGAAGAGGUGAGUGGAACUCCGAGUGUAGAGGUGAAAUUCGUAGAUAUUCGGAAGAACACCAGUGGCGAAGGCGGCUCACUGGUCCGGUACUGACGCUGAGGUGCGAAAGCGUGGGGAGCAAACAGG
rnacentral:rRNA from 1 species